GAUGAACGCUGGCGGCGUGCCUAACACAUGCAAGUCGAACGAAGCUUGACGGAUGAUUUCUUCGGAAUGAAACCAGAUAUGACUUAGUGGCGGACGGGUGAGUAACACGUGAGCAACCUGCCUUUCAGAGGGGGAUAACGGCUGGAAACGGUCGCUAAUACCGCAUGAAGUGUUCGGAUGGCAUCAUCUGAACAUCAAAGNUUUAUCGCUGAAAGAUGGGCUCGCGUCUGAUUAGAUAGUUGGUGGGGUAACGGCCUACCAAGUCGACGAUCAGUAGCCGGACUGAGAGGUUGAACGGCCACAUUGGGACUGAGACACGGCCCAAACUCCUACGGGAGGCAGCAGUGGGGAAUAUUGGGCAAUGGAGGAAACUCUGACCCAGCAACGCCGCGUGGAGGAAGAAGGUUUUCGGAUCGUAAACUCCUGUCCUUGGAGACGAGUAGAAGACGGUAUCCAAGGAGGAGGCCCCGGCGUAACUACGUG
rnacentral:rRNA from 1 species